rnacentral:rRNA from 1 species
GUGUCGUGAGAUGUUGGGUUAAGUCCCGCAACGAGCGCAAACCCUUGUCAUUAGUUGCUACAUUCAGUUGGGCACUCUAAUGAGACUGCCGGUGACAAGCCGGAGGAAGUGGGGAUGACGUCAAGUCCUCAUGGCCCUUAUAGGUGGGGCUACACACGUCAUACAAUGGCUGGUACAAAGGGUUGCCAACCCGCGAGGGGGAGCCAAUCCCAUAAAGCCAGUCGUAGUCCGGAUCGUAGUCUGCAACUCGACUACGUGAAGUCGGAAUCGCUAGUAAUCGUGGAUCAGAAUGUCACGGUGAAUACGUUCCCGGGUCUU